GAUGAACGCUGGCGGCGUGCUUAACACAUGCAAGUCGAACGAUGAAGCCCAGCUUGCUGGGUGGAUUAGUGGCGAACGGGUGAGUAACACGUGAGUAACCUGCCCUUAACUCUGGGAUAAGCCUAGGAAACUGGGUCUAAUACCGGAUAGGAGCGCCUACCGCAUGGUGGGUGUUGGAAAGAUUUAUCGGUUUUGGAUGGACUCGCGGCCUAUCAGCUUGUUGGUGAGGUAAUGGCUCACCAAGGCGACGACGGGUAGCCGGCCUGAGAGGGUGACCGGCCACACUGGGACUGAGACACGGCCCAGACUCCUACGGGAGGCAGCAGUGGGGAAUAUUGCACAAUGGGCGAAAGCCUGAUGCAGCGACGCCGCGUGAGGGAUGACGGCCUUCGGGUUGUAAACCUCUUUCAGUAGGGAAGAAGCGAAAGUGACGGUACCUGCAGAAGAAGCACCGGCUAACUACGUG
rnacentral:rRNA from 1 species